rnacentral:lncRNA from 1 species
UUCAAUGAUUUCUGGCCCUUUUGAGUAGAUUUUGAUCGCACUUCUAUCGCCCAAAAAAAAAAGAGAAUUAUCUUAUGUUCCUUUGCAUGUGAUGAGUUUCCUUUCAGAUUAUCUCUCUUGUUUCCUCUGUUUUUUCUCAGCAGCAAUCGAGAGAACUUGAAAAAAAAACCCAAAAGAAUUGGGCAAUCGAUUCCAUCACAUCCAAAAGAAAUCGAGUUAGAAAAGGCCUCGGUAUGUAUGAAGCAUCGCUUUCUUGUUUAUUGUUCAGUUUCCUUUUAGGAAAUUUCUGCCUUCCUCUCGCUUGUAAAGAGGAUAGAGAAUAAGUGAUAGCAGUGCUCCUGCUCCUCCGCAUUAAUAUUUUUUCUCCUGCUAUAAAAUUCCCUCCCUCUCUUUCUCUUUCCUCUGCCGGGUUCUGCUUUCCAUUUCAUCAAACGGGCUAGGCGCAGAGCAGACGGACAGGGCUUUACAGCUUCCA